UACAGAGGUCUCAAGCGUUGUUCGGAUUCAUUGGGCGUAAAGGGCUCGUAGGCGGUUUGUCGCGUCGGGAGUGAAAUCCACUGGCUUAACUGGUGGCUUGCUUUCGAUACGGGCAGACUGGAGGUAUGCAGGGGAGAACGGAAUUCCUGGUGUAGCGGUGAAAUGCGUAGAUAUCGGGAGGAACACCAGUGGCGAAGGCAACUACCUGGCCUGUUCUUGACGCUGAGGCGCGAAAGCUAGGGGGAGCAAACGGG
rnacentral:rRNA from 1 species